UGCUGUUGAAGACCGUUGGCGCUGACGCAUUUCGAAAAUCGAACUUAGUGUUUUUAUUUUUUGUACGUUUGGCCUGUUGAUUGGGCUGGUAUUGCGCGUCAAGAUGGCUGGUGACGGUCAGAGGUUUUGCCUAAAAUGGAACGACUUCAGAAACAGUGUAACCUCAGUGUUUGAGGAUCUCAGAAAAGAUGGAGAAUUGGUUGACAUCACACUCUGCUGUGAGGGGAAGAAGGUCAAGGCACACAGAAUGAUGCUGUCUGCGUGCAGUCCAUACUUCCGUGAUCUUCUCAAGGAAAAUCCCUGUCAGCACCCAGUGUUCUUUCUGAAGGACACGACCUUCAGUGACCUGAGGGCUGUGAUUGAGUUUGUGUACAAUGGCGAGGUGAAUGUCACCCAGACUCAGCUCAGCAGCUUCCUCAAGACUGCUGAGAUGCUCCAAGUCAGGGGGCUCACUGGAGAUGAGGAUAAGGAGUCUGUGCCGGUGCCGGCUUCUCCUCGCGCCCAGCCGCGGCCCUCGCCGGCGGCGGCUCCGCGGACGUUCCCCCGCCCCUCCCCGGCGCCGGUGUCCCGUCCUCCGCCGGCGGCCGUCCGCCGACCGAUGGCGCCGGCCGCCCCACCGCCCCCACCGCCACCGGCACCGGCACCGCCCAUCAACAGCUCCGCGGCGGCGGCGGCACGGACCGCGGCGCCGCCGCCCGAGUCGCCGCCCGUCUCACCGGCCACCAAGCGGCGCCGCGUCCACUCUGGCUCCGGCUCGGGCAGUAACGACGGUCUGGAGACCUCGGCGGCGGCGUCACCGGCCCCCACCACCCCGUCCGGCUCCGACACCGCCCCGCCGCCCGCCGAGGAGCCUGGAGAGCAGCUCAGGAUGAGCUACCCGCACGGCGGCCAGGUCAAGGUGGAGAAGAUCGACAUAGACAUUGCGGAUGAUGAUGAGGACGAUAUGGCGGCGCUCGGACAGGUGGUGGACUAUGAGGAGGGGUACGACUCGAACCAGUCGCUCGGCGCCGUGCCUGUCCCCGACCCCGGCCAAGUGAGCGAGAUGCUGGCGGCAGCGGGACCCUCCUCGGACGGCGGCGCAGGCUCUAUGACAGGGUUAAUGCGCGUUGCCUCUGCCAGGUCGCUCGCUGGCGGUUGCGCCUGCGAACUUUGCGGAAAGAAGUUUGUUCGAAAAUCGGCUCUGACGGCCCACAAGAAAGUGCACACCGGAGAAACGACUUGUGUAGUGUGCAUGAAAAUUUUCUCCAACAAAACCAACCUAAAGAUCCAUUUGGAGACGAUUCACCGAGGUUUCAAGUGAUCGGUGUGGAGUCUUCCUGACAAAUGUAGAAAGCGAUAGGUUGUGUUGUUGGACAGUUCGUGUAGAUCAUGGUAUUUAAACGUGCUCCCACGCGCGGUCGUGUAGUUUGUAAUGGCGUUGUCACAGGCUAGGAGAAGUCCCUUUUUAGGUAGUUACACGAGGACCCAGGAAGUGUCGCAUGGAGCUAUCGUGAAUGAAUUUUAUUUUAUUUUUGUCGUAGAAUCUCCUUUGCUGAUUUUAUACAAGAUAUUUUUAUGCAUAUAAGAAUAUGCAAGAUAUUUGACCCUUUCUGAUAUUGCUUGCUUAGUAUUUAUUUUUACAUCGGUCUAGCCCCUUCCUGUUGUAAAUAAUUAGCAUCAGCAGUUUGUAAGCAGGGUUAUACCCAUCUGCCACCAUCAAUGGUACCUCUGUAUUCUGUAUAAGUGACCGCAGACUAUGGAUAUUGAUGUAGGUAGCUAGACCGUCGUCAGUUGAUUUCGUGCCAACUUUUAGAGGUAGACCAUUGCAAAUACAACCAGGUAGUGAC
rnacentral:misc_RNA from 1 species